rnacentral:rRNA from 1 species
AACGAACGCUGGCGGCGUGCUUAACACAUGCAAGUCGAACGUGAAAGUGGCUUCGGCCAUGAGUAAAGUGGCAGACGGGUGAGUAACACGUGGGUAACCUACCCCUUGGCGGGGAAUAACCAUUCGAAAGGAUGGCUAAUACCGCAUAAGACCACGUCCCUGAUGGGAUGAGGUAAAAGACUUCGGUCACCGAGGGAGGGGCCCGCGGCCGAUUAGCUAGUUGGUGAGGUAAUGGCUCACCAAGGCGACGAUCGGUAGCUGGUCUGAGAGGAUGAUCAGCCACACUGGUACUUAGACACGGACCAGACUCCUACGGGAGGCAGCAGUGGGGAAUAUUGCGCAAUGGACGAAAGUCUGACGCAGCAACGCCGCGUGGGUGAAGAAGGCCUUCGGGUCGUAAAGCCCUGUCAGGUGGGAAGAAACCUGCGUAAGCAGCUGACGGUACCACCAAAGGAAGCACCGGCUAACUCCGUGCCAGCCGCCGCGGUAAUAC